UCAUUGUGGACGUUCACAUCCCCUCCUGAUGAGGAUAGUAAUUAUGAUAAGACUCGACUAACGUCAGAUGAUGCCUUACGCCUCGAUCGAUGCGACAGCACCUGGUCAAUGCAGACCGGGGCACAUUAACACCCUGCUCAAGCUCAAUUCUUCACGCCACGCCAACACAAGUGUCAGACGCUACCAGCCUGCCCCUGCAAGCGGGUAGCUCAGGAAGCAAUAAGCUUCCCUAUAAAUACCCUCUCGUUCAUCAAGAGAGGGGGGAGAAACAGACACACAAAAAGACUUCUUCGUCUGAAACCCCCUUUGACAUCUUCUAACUUGAUCGUCGGAUGGGUCGGGUCGAGCUUCCCGACCCGACCUUUGUGCAGGUGCGAAGCUGAAGGCCCCCGCUGGACGCGCAGGCGAGGAGUUCUUGCCCGGAGGAAAAGGCAACCUCGUCCCGAUCGGACACCGCACCCGACCACCUCAGCGGGCUCAAGGAACGCCCUAAGGAGAUCCUCGUCGUCCGGACCCGAACCGAGCCGCGUCAGUCCCGAGGCCACAGCUCAAGGUUGUUUCCCACAACAAAUUGGUUCUAGAAGGAGGGCCCGGAAUGUCGGGUGAUCACCCGAGCGGCUCAGAUGAGCCCACGGCUAAGAGGUCGCACCCGACUGAAACCUCGGGGGAACAUCCCCCGCACGGAGACCAUCGUGAUGAACACCCCGCUACGACAUCAGAACGAUAUUGGCGAAUAUUCAAUGACCCGGGCUUGUCACCGCCCGACGACGCCCCAGCCGACUCGACGCCCGUGUUAUCCGAGGCCUUUCAGGACCUCGCCCAUCAAGUCCGAGCUCUGACGGGUAUGGUGCAAACCAUUAUCCCGCUCGUUGCUCAUCCGACGCACCCGCCUGCGAUCGAACCACUGCGACAACGCAAGGCGCCCGUUCGGGCCCACACGACACUUUCGGAGCCCCCUGCUUCGCCUCGGGUCCGAUCGGCCCCACUCGGGGAUCCAGUGAUGGCAAACCCGAGCGGCCGCCCGGAACUCGAGGCAUUCUCUUCGGAUUCUAUGGACUCCCUAUGGGCCCAGUUGCGCUUCGUCAGCCAGCGACUCGACGAGGUGCAGAAAGAGGUUCGCAGGUCCAAGGGAGAGCUCGAGGAGGACGCACACCAAGGGUCUCCCUUUAUGCCUGAGAUACGGGAUCAGAUAGUCCCCCUGGACUUCCAGCUCCCCUCUUUGGACGCUUACGAUGGCUCCACCGACCCAGCGGACCACGUAGCCGCUUUUCACGCCCAAAUGGCGCUAUACGGAACCUAUGAUGCUCUGAUGUGCAGAGCGUUUCCCACCACUCUGAGAGGGCCAGCCCACGCAUGGUAUGACGGUUUGAAAAUCGGAACGAUCGCUUCAUUUGACCAGCUCAUCAAUGACUUCGAGCUCCACUUUGUGACCUAUGCACGGCCGAAGCCUUCCGCGACACUGCUCCUCGGACUCAAACAAAGGGAGGACAAGCCCCUCUCACAUUUUGUGGAUCGCUUUGCCACGUAGAUCCAGGGUUUGCCGGACACUCACCCCUCUCAGUUAGUGCAGGCGUUUAUGAUAGGCCUACGACCUUCCAUAUUCCUCUGGUCCCUCGGGGAGCGACCUCCCACCACGGUGCCAGAGAUGCUCCAGCGGGCUAACCGGUACAUCGCGGCGGAGGCCUGGGUGGCCAUGAGGAGAAGGGACGACUUCUGGCAGUGGGCUCCAUAGAAGAAGUCAAGCACCCGCGGUGGCUAUCCGAUGUAGUCCUCGUAAAAGGAAUCUAGGCCCUGCCUCAGUCUCUUCCGAGCGAAGGCUUAGUAUCUACCUGACUGCCUCCCGGUUCGCGGUUAGCUCCGACCUAACCCCCUUUGGUAUCUACACGGCUCGGCCACAGUCUGCCGAGUCCACCUCAACGUGGCCUGCCCGCCUGAGCCGUGUCCCUCGGUCGUAGACUGCCGAGUCCACCUCAGCGCGGCCUGCCCGCCUGAGCCAUGUCCCUCGGCCCGAGCCACGUCCCUUGGCCGUAGACUGCCGAGCCCCCCUCAGGGUGGCCUUCCCGAGCCAUAUCCCUUGGCCGUAGAUAGCCGAGUCCACCUCAGGGCGCCCUUCCCGCUUGAGCCGUAUCCCUUGGCCAUAGACUACCGAGUUUCCCUCGGCCUUCCCGUCCGAGCCAUAUCCCUCGGUCGUACAUUGCCUUCCCGCCCGAGCCGUGUCCCUCGGCCGUAGACUGCCGAAUCCACCUCAGGGUGGCCUGCCCGCCUGAGCCGUGUCCCUCGGCCUGAGCCACGUCCCUCGGCCAUAGACCGCCCGAACCACACCCCUCGGCCGCAGCCCACUUGCGCCGUGCUCCUCGGCCAUGUUGCCCGAGACCACGCCUGCGCGACCUGUCGCCCGAGCCACACCCCUCGGCCGCAGCCCGCCUGCACCGUGCUCCUCGGCCAUGUUGCCCGAGACCACGCCUGCGUCGUGCUCCUCGGCCGCAUGAUACCCGAGACCACACCUGCGCGGCUUGCCCACCUGCGUUGUGCUCCUUGGCUCCAUGCUCCUCGAGNNNNNNNNNNNNNNNNNNNNGCGUUGUGCUCCUUGGCUCCAUGCUCCUCGAGACACACCUGCGCGGCCAACCCGCUUGCGUCGUGCUCCUCGGCUCCAUGCUCCCCGAGACACACCUGCGCGGCCAGUCCACCUGCGUCGUGCUCCUCGGCCCCACGCUCCCCGAGACACACCUGCGCGGCCUACCCGCCUGUGUCAUGCUCCUUGGCUCCAUGCUCCCCGAGACACGCCUGCGCGGCCAGCUCGCCUGCGUCGUACUCCUCGACUCCAUGCUCCCCGAGACACACCUGCGCGGCCAGCCCGCCUGCGUCGUGCUCCUCGGCCCCACGUUCCCCGAGACACACCUGCGCGGCCAGCCCACCUGCAUCGUACUCCUCGGCUCCAUGCUCCCCGAGACCACGCUUGCGCGGCCAGCCCGCCUAAAAGUUGAAGCCAUGCCUCAGACUCCCGUUACAACGACCGACGCAUAGCUUCUUUCCGAGGGGGAAUAUGAUGAGGAUAGUAAUUAUGAUAAGACUCGGCUGACGUCAGGUGAUGCCUCACGCCUCGAUCGACAUGACAACACCUGGUCAAUGCAGAUCGAAACGCCGAUCGAGGCACAUUAACACCCUGCUCAAGCUCAAUUCUUCACGCCACGCCAACACAAGUGUCAGACGAUACCAGCUUGCCCCCUGCAAGCGGGCAGCUCAGGAAGCAGUAAGCUUCCCUAUAAAUACCCUCUCGUUCAUUAGGAGAGGGGGGAGAAACAGACACACAAAAAGACUUCUUCAUCUGAAACCCCCUUUGACAUCUUCUAACUUGAUCGUCGGAGGGGUCGAGUCGAGCUUCCCGACCCGACCUUUGUGCAUGUGCGAAGUCGAAGGCCCCCACCGGACGUGCAGGCGAGGAGUUCCUGCCCGGAGGAAAAGGCAACCCCAUCCCGAUCGGAUACCGCACCCGACCACCUCAACGGGCUCAAGGAAUGCCCCAGAGAAAUCCCCGUCGUCUGGAUCCGAACCGAGCACCGUCGGCCCCGAGGCCACGGCUCAAGGUUGUUUCCCACGACACCUCCAAACCACUAUUGCAUCGUUUCGGCCGCCUUAUCCAAGCAGUACUUGUAAUCGUAUGAUUUGCCACUCCACGUUAUCCACAAAAUAUAACCCAUCUCUUCACUCGAUUCAAACCACUCUCCCCAAAUUUCUCUGCCUGUUUAGCUAACGUCGAUCGCAGUCACGGAUAGGUACAACUAACACACCGG
rnacentral:lncRNA from 1 species